CUAGAAGAGAAACAGGAGCUACACAGUAGUACUGUAUGUUUGAGGUAAUCUAGAAGAGAAACAGGAGCUACACAGUCGUACCGUAUGUUUGAGGUAAUAUUCUAGAAGAGAAACAGGAGCUACACAGUCGUACCGUAUGUUUGAGGUAAUAUUCUAGAAGAGAAACAGGAGCUACACAGUCGUACCGUAUGUUUGAGGUAAUAUUCUAGAAGAGAAACAGGAGCUACACAGUCGUACCGUAUGUUUGAGGUAAUAUUCUAGAAGAGAAACAGGAGCUACACAGUCGUACCGUAUGUUUGAGGUAAUAUUCUAGAAGAGAAACAGGAGCUACACAGUCGUACCGUAUGUUUGAGGUAAUAUUCUAGAAGAGAAACAGGAGCUACACAGUCGUACCGUAUGUUUGAGGUAAUAUUCUAGAAGAGAAACAGGAGCUACACAGUCGUACCGUAUGUUUGAGGUAAUAUUCUAGAAGAGAAACAGGAGCUCCACAGUAGUACUGUAUGUUUGAGGUAAUAUUCUAGAAGAGAAACAGGAGCUACACAGUAGUACUGUAUGUUUGAGGUAGUAUUCUAGAAGAGAAACAGGAGCUACACAUUCGUACCGUAUGUUUGAGGUAAUCUAGAAGAGAAACAGGAGCUACACAGUAGUACUGUAUGUUUGAGGUAGUAUUCUAGAAGAGAAACAGGAGCUACACAGUAGUACUGUAUGUUUGAGGUAAUAUUCUAGAAGAGAAACAGGAGCUCCACAGUCGUACCGUAUGUUUGAGGUAAUCUAGAAGAGAAACAGGAGCUACACAGUAGUACUGUAUGUUUGAGGUAGUAUUCUAGAAGAGAAACAGGAGCUACACAGUCGUACCGUAUGUUUGAGGUAAUCUAGAAGAGAAACAGGAGCUACACAGUAGUACCGUAUGUUUGAGGUAAUCUAGAAGAGAAACAGGAGCUACACAGUAGUACCGUAUGUUUGAGGUAAUCUAGAAGAGAAACAGGAGCUACACAGUAGUAUUGUAUGUUUGAGGUAGUAUUCUAGAAGAGAAACAGGAGCUACACAGUCGUACCGUAUGUUUGAGGUAUUCUAGAAGAGAAACAGGAGCUACACAGUCGUACCGUAUGUUUGAGGUAAUCUAGAAGAGAAACAGGAGCUCAAGGAGUAGAACAUUUGAGUUGCCGGUACACCGCUCCUGCCUAAGUCAAGCACUGUGUGUGUGUGUGUGUGUGUGUGUGUGUGUGUGUGUGUGUGUGUGUGUGUGUGUGUGUGUGUGUGUGUGUG